UGGGGAAUAUUGGACAAUGGGCGCAAGCCUGAUCCAGCCAUGCCGCGUGCAGGAAGAAGCAUCUAUGGUGUGUAAACUGCUUUUGUACGGGAAGAAACACUCCUACGUGUAGGAGCUUGACGGUACCGUAAGAAUAAGGAUCGGCUAACUCCGUGCCAGCAGCCGCGGUAAUACGGAGGAUCCAAGCGUUAUCCGGAAUCAUUGGGUUAAAGGGUCCGUAGGCGGUUCAAUAAGUCAGUGGUGAAAGCCCAUCGCUCAACGAUGGAACGGCCAUUGAUACUGUUAGACUUGAAUUACAAGGAAGUAACUAGAAUAUGUAGUGUAGCGGUGAAAUGCUUAGAUAUUACAUGGAAUACCAAUUGCGAAGGCAGGUUACUACUUGUGGAUUGACGCUGAUGGACGAAAGCGUGGGGAGCGAACA
rnacentral:rRNA from 1 species